UACGGAGGAUGCGAGCGUUAUCCGGAUUUAUUGGGUUUAAAGGGUGCGUAGGUUGUUUUUUAAGUCAGCGGUGAAAGUUUGUGGCUCAACCAUAAAAUUGCCGUUGAAACUGGCUGGCUUGAGUUGGGGAAAGGCAGGCGGAAUGCGCGGUGUAGCGGUGAAAUGCAUAGAUAUCGCGCAGAACCCCGAUUGCGAAGGCAGCAUACCGGUGCACAACUGACGCUCAGGCACGAAAGCGUGGGUAUCGAACAGG
rnacentral:rRNA from 1 species